rnacentral:rRNA from 1 species
AAUAUUGGACAAUGGGGGAAACCCUGAUCCAGCCAUCCCGCGUGAAUGAUGAAGGCCUUCGGGUAGUAAAGUACUUUUGGCAGAGAAGAAAAGGUACCUCCUAAUACGAGGUACUGCUGACGGUAUCUGCAGAAUAAGUACAGGCUACCUACGUGCAAGCAGCCGCGGUAAUACGUACUGUGCAAGCGUUAAUCGGAAUUACUGGGCGUAAAACGUGUGUAGGCGGUUCGGAAAGAAAGAUGUGAAAUCCCAGGGCUCAACCUUGGAACUGCAUUUUUAACUGCCGAGCUAGAGUAUGUCAGAGGGGGGUAGAAUUCCACGUGUAGCAGUGAAAUGCGUAGAUAUGUGGAGGAAUACCGAUGGCGAAGGCAGCCCCCUGGGAUAAUACUGACGCUCAGACACGAAAGCGUGGGGAGCAAAC